CAGUCGCCGCGGUAAAACGGAGGGUGCAAGCGUUAAUCGGAAUUACUGGGCGUAAAGCGCACGCAGGCGGUUUGUUAAGUCAGAUGUGAAAUCCCCGAGCUUAACUUGGGAACUGCAUUUGAAACUGGCAAGCUAGAGUCUUGUAGAGGGGGGUAGAAUUCCAGGUGUAGCGGUGAAAUGCGUAGAGAUCUGGAGGAAUACCGGUGGCGAAGGCGGCCCCCUGGACAAAGACUGACGCUCAGGUGCGAAAGCGUGGGGAGCAAACAGGAUUAGAUACCCCAGUAGUCCCUGUCUCUUAUAC
rnacentral:rRNA from 1 species